rnacentral:rRNA from 1 species
GACGAACGCUGGCGGCGUGCUUAACACAUGCAAGUCGAACGGUGAAGCCCUUCGGGGUGGAUUAGUGGCGAACGGGUGAGUAACACGUGAGCAACCUGCCCCUGGCUCUGGGACAACCACUGGAAACGGUGGCUAAUACCGGAUACGACCCGCCUCGGCAUCGAGUGUGGGUGGAAAGUUUUUCGGCUGGGGAUGGGCUCGCGGCCUAUCAGCUUGUUGGUGAGGUGAAGGCUCACCAAGGCGACGACGGGUAGCCGGCCUGAGAGGGCGACCGGCCACACUGGGACUGAGACACGGCCCAGACUCCUACGGGAGGCAGCAGUGGGGAAUAUUGCACAAUGGGCGAAAGCCUGAUGCAGCGACGCCGCGUGAGGGAUGACGGCCUUCGGGUUGUAAACCUCUUUCAGCUCCGAAGAAGCGAAAGUGACGGUAGGAGCAGAAGAAGCACCGGCUAACUACGUG